CCUACGGGAGGCAGCAGUAAGGAAUAUUGGACAAUGGAGGAAAGUCUGAUCCAGCCAUGCCGCGUGCAGGAAGACAGCCCUACGGGUUGUAAACUGCUUUUAUACAGGAAGAAACACUCCGACGUGUCGGAGCUUGACGGUACUGUAAGAAUAAGGAUCGGCUAACUCCGUGCCAGCAGCCGCGGUAAUACGGAGGAUCCAAGCGUUAUCCGGAAUCAUUGGGUUUAAAGGGUCCGCAGGCUGUUUUUUAAGUCAGAGGUGAAAUCCUGCAGCUCAACUGUAGAACUGCCUUUGAUACUGGAAAACUUGAGUUAUUGUGAAGUAGUUAGAAUGUGUGGUGUAGCGGUGAAAUGCAUAGAUAUCACACAGAAUACCGAUUGCGAAGGCAGAUCACUAACAAUAUACUGACGCUCAUGGACGAAAGCGUGGGGAGCGAACAGGAUUAGAUACCCUGGUAGUCCACGCCGUAAACGAUGGAUACUAGCUGUUCGUCUAACAUUGGUUAGAUGAGUGGCUAAGCGAAAGUGAUAAGUAUCCCACCUGGGGAGUACGGUCGCAAGACUGAAACUCAAAGGAAUUGACGG
rnacentral:rRNA from 1 species